rnacentral:rRNA from 1 species
UACGGAGGAUCCGAGCGUUAUCCGGAUUUAUUGGGUUUAAAGGGUGCGCAGGCGGGAGAUUAAGUCGGCGGUGAAAUUUUGCAGCUCAACUGUAAAAGUGCCUUCGAAACUGGUUUCCUUGAGUGUAGAUGAAGUAGGCGGAAUUUGUGGUGUAGCGGUGAAAUGCAUAGAUAUCACGAGGAACUCCGAUUGCGAAGGCAGCUUACUAAGCUACUACUGACGUUCAGGCACGAAGGCGUGGGGAUCAAACAGGAUUAGAUACCCCGGUAGUCCCUGA